rnacentral:rRNA from 1 species
CAUAUCAAUAAGCCGGGGAA